AGAUUGAGCGCUGGCGGCAUGCUUUACACAUGCAAGUCGAACGGGGUGGUGGGGCAACCUGCCAUUCAGUGGCGAACGGGUGAGUAAUGCAUCGGAACGUGUCCCGUAGUGGGGGAUAACCCGGCGAAAGCCGGACUAAUACCGCAUAUGCUCUACGGAGGAAAGCGGGGGACCUGAAAGGGCCUCGCGCUAUGGGAGCGGCCGAUGUCCGAUUAGCUUGUUGGUGAGGUAAUGGCUCACCAAGGCGACGAUCGGUAGCUGGUCUGAGAGGAUGAUCAGCCACACUGGGACUGAGACACGGCCCAGACUCCUACGGGAGCAGCAGUGGGGAAUUUUGGACAAUGGGGGCAA
rnacentral:rRNA from 1 species